UACCGUAAAACGGGAUAUAGCCAUCACAAAUUCAAUGUUGUCUUCUUAUUGCUUAUUGUGUUUCUGAUUGUAUACUCAUUCAAAGUUUCAUAUUUCUUGAACUAAAUUGUUUGAGAUUCACGCAGGUUUUUCUGCAUUCAUCGGGUAUUAUCAAAGUAAACCCAAAACAAAAAAACUGAUGUUCGGUCACUAGAAAAAAAAAAGUGCAAAUGCAAUAAUUUCCGUUAAACAUAUUACUAAUGAAUUAGCUCUAGGAUCCUCAGUACUUGUUUCAUAAACAUAAUAUUUGAAAAGCAUUAAUUGUUGUAAAACAUAUUUAGAAUAUACCUAAAAAAAUAAUAUCAAAGCUACCCCGUUUUACGGUACUGACGAUUUCAUGGUAGAUAGACAGACAUGAGACGAACCGAAAACAAGUGGAUCAUCAGUGCUGCCAAGAGACGGAGAAGGUUAAGGUGAUUCGAGUUGAACAAUUGCCGUCAUGAUGGCUGAUAUGUCCUAUCACUUCAAGCUUUCUAGAGCACAAGUCUCGGGUACUGUUGCGACAUCGCUCAUGAAAUUGGAACUCCUUGUGGCCUGCACUGCAGUAAACGUGGGGUUCCAGUUUCAUUGUUGUGUGUAAUGUGAUAGCUGAUAUUUGCGCACUUGAAAUUUCGAGGGGACAAUGAGAUUAUCAGAAAUAAUGUUUCCACAUCGAUUCACCUUAAUUCCACCGACGAAUCGACGUUACAGCUUAUACCAGCAACAAUCAAAUUCUUGCUCAGGACGUCACGAACACACGUAGAAUUUAUAUUGCCUUGGUUUGCGUCUCACCUCGUUUGAAAGAUCUGAUCACCCAUUUGACAAUUCGAAUCGCUCGGAUGAGAAAUUGAUUUGUGGACAAACAAAAUGCUCCUGUGUCAUGUCGGUUGGUCGGUGUUAAUUCUCCCUAACUUUUCAUAAUUGUUUUUUUAUCAAGCAACUUGAUAGGGCUUUUGGAAAAACUUUAAAAAGAUCUGCCAAAGUAGACUUUCAGAACAUUUGAUGUGAAAAUGCGAAAAAUUUAAAGGGAUUCGGGGCUUGGUGCAGAGAUUCAAAUCCAUACUGCUUACAAUGAUGGUCACGGAUUCAUAUUCUAUCACCUGAUAAGUCACGAAUGGCCUUAAAAGUAUCUAUAAUUAUUCAAGCAACAGAACACCGGUGAGAAACCAAGCUAAAUUAAAAAAUAAUGAGAGAAAAGCAUGAAGGAUUUCUCAGAUAAACAUGAAGGACUUCCAAGAAAAGUUAUGAACACUUUUUGGACACUUAGAAAAUGUUCAGAGAAGGUUAGGCAUCUCCCAUUGAAAGCCAGAAGAAGUCCUAAGAAUUUCCAGUUGAAUCUUUACUAGAAGAAUGGCUAGAGUACCUGCAGAACUGGGAUGUCAGUUUGAGAAAAAAAAAUAUUACGGCAGACAGUGGUCGAAAAAGCAAAUUUUGCAGGAAGGCUGAAAUUGAAAAUUAUGAAAAAAGCGUUUUCGUCAAAGUAGCUGCUCACAAUUAGGCCCUCAUGGACUGUCGAGCACGUUCUUCGCAUCGCAAGAAACACCCUCUGUUGACUCAAACUCCCAAAAAGUUGCAUUCAAAAGGAUAUUUCAAUUUUCGAACAUGAAACUACUUGAGUAUCGUUUGAAGAUAUGCAAAAAUGCAGGGUUGUUUCGACUACGUGAUUUUUGUGAUUUAAGCGGAUUUGCAUUGGUCUGGUACGGAUUAGAUCUUCAACUAAGUUUCAUUUUUAAUUAUUUGAAAACUCUAUUCUAAUUAUUUCAAGGACAUAUUUUCAAAUAGAAACAAAUGCUGUUGUAGCGGUGCCGGUGGUGUAGUGGUAAGCGUGACUGCCUCUCACUUUCAACGGCCUGGGUUCAAUCCCAGUCGGCGCCGUCGGGAUUUUCUGAGGCAUAAAAUCUCUGAUCACGCCUUCAUUCGGAGGGGAAGUAAAGCCGUUUGUCUCCGGUCCAUGAGUUGAUGAGUCGAUAGGUAGGGUCCAGGUGUGGUAGCAUUGGUACUCAGUACGGAAUACAAGAUCGACGGAAAACAAAUCAAGGAAGAAAAAACAAAAUACUGUUGUUAACAAUGCCUUCAACCGUUCACCUAGACAGACUACUGAAAUCAUUAUAAGUUGUAUUUUUUUAAAGAUCGCAGUGUUGAAUUGAAUCUCCCGAAGAUAUUUAGGUCAUUUCUAUAGUUCUCAGAACGUAUUUAAGUAUUGGAAGCCUGGAACUGAAAGCUUCAAAGUUUCUCAUAGCUUCCAGUUCCCUGAACACUAAGAUGUAUGUAUUGGUGUGGAUGUCGUUGAAUAUAUUUGAUGCUUCCUGGACCUCUUCCAAGCUAUCUGAACUACUCUUAAGUUUGAAGUUCGCAGAUCCUCUCUUAAGCACUAGCUCGUCGAAUCUCUCAGAAGUUCUCUCACAUAUUUUCAUUAAAUCCCUGAUCCUCUCAGAAGUCCAGAGAAUUUUUGAGAAAAAAAAAUCAUCCUGAAUUUCAAAGAAGACCACUGGAUUUCAGAGCUAUUCAGAGAAACGCAGGGAACAUCAUUGUAGUUUAAACAAGACAAAAGAACUCACCUCAGAGAUGUUUGGGCGAAUCCCAGAGAUCUUUUGGAACUUAAAGAUGAUUCUUCGGAUACGUUUAAGUGUACCUCAGUUAACCUAAGGGUAAGUUUAGUGAAGGUCAAAUGAACCACAGAGUGGUUACUUCUUCAGAAAAGUUAAGAGUUCUUAAAAAAAAUGGUUAAGGAAUCUUUUUAGAAUACUAAUUGGGUGAUGUAAUAGCCACUAGACAUGUCCAAGUAGCCAACAACGCUUUUUGCAAUCCCCCUUAUUCUGCGCGCGAGUGAGGUGAGGUGACUCUCCGUGCAAAUCAAAUGUGGAUCAUCAAAACUGCUGGUUUCUAUGUUUUGUUCACUGAGUUUGGUGGUAUAUUCCGUUGGGCUAACAAUUAAUUAUGGCUUACGAAAAAUUAUAGGUAGUUAAUUUCUAUGAAAUUACAAUACUUAACACAAUAGAUAAGAAGAGUUACUUCAUUUAUGGCUCCUGAAUAUUUGACUCAAAUUCAAAUUGGUGCCCAGUUGACAAUUGCCUUGAGUGAGACCGCAGUACCCAGGUUUGGAGUUGUGACUAAAAUGUCCUUCACAGGGACUAAGACGUUUCGUAGUUUUUUGAUGGAAAUAGAGACAGAAAGUUAGACUGGUGUAGCAAUAUACAUCGUAUUUUUAUUCGAAUGCCUCUUAUGCAGGAUCUAUCUAUAGUCCAUUUCUUCGUAUUGGUUUGACUGGUAUCGAAGACAACAUAUCAAGAAGACUGGCAACUCUUCCAUUUUCUCAUACGAACGCUAUGAGACAGGUACAAUUGCGUCAUCUGCCGCUCAAAGGUAAAUGCUUCGAACGAAUUUGAUAGCAAAGAUUACACCCUUAGAAGAAAGGUUUGUGUAUUUGCUCAUUUUUUGAUAUGAUGUCUUCGCUGGUAUUCACCAAUAUAUUUAUCUAAUUUUUCCAAACCGAGAAUACACAAUAAUGACCUAAAUAUGGACUCUGGAAGUCACUAGAUGGAACUGUCCCAUGGCCCAUAAGGAUAGCAUAGGACAUGGGACAGUUAUGCGCAGGCCUAUUCUGCAAGUCGUGUGACUCUCUGUUACUAGUGAGGUGACAAAAGUCACGUCGUUUGAGAUGACUGCCCAUUUGAUUUGCAUGGGGAGUCACCUCACUAUUGGCGGAGAGUCACACGACUCGCAGAAUAUCCGUACUGCAUUCGUGAAAGUUUCAAAUUCUUCCUUUUUCCACAACAUCAAGUAUUGGAUGAUGUGAAAAGUGAUAUUUUGAACUCAGAAAUUGAUCUGAAAAUUUCAAACUUGUAAAAAUUGAGAUGCAGUAAUAAAAAAUAGCAAAAGGUUUUAAGGUACGGAAAAUUCAAAGAUUAAGAAAAAUAUUCCCAUGUUGCAAUGAUGGCAAAAUUCCACUAAAAAGAAUUAAAAGUUCUAGGGCUUCUAAAAGUUCUGUUUUCUUGAAGAAAAAAAAAUAUUCUUAGGUUUAGGAUAUUGUUUGAGAUCCUGCAGCUGAUCUCAUUGUUAGGAGAACUUUAAAGAUCCUAGGCAACGUUUUGAAAAUUUGUCCCGUUUAAGAAAAUAUUUCAACAUUCCAGAGAUGGAGACAGACAUUUUCAUGUUCUGAGACAUGUAGUUUUUUUUAAUGAUUCUUGUUAAUUCAGCACAGGCUUUGAAAAACUGAUUCAAGGCAAUUUAAGAAUUUGUUGGGUGUUUUCCUACAUGUUUUUUUUUAUGGAUUUGGGUUGUAACUUAAAUAUCUUUUCUUUGGCGCGAAUAAAAGCAUUGCGUGUCGCGGAUUUUGGGGAUUGAACAUUGGGAUUUCGGUUAAAACCCUGCAAUACAGUUCGCCGAAUGUCACCAAAUACACCGAACCGAAUAUUUGAAAACUUUCCGAUAACUGCCGUGCCUGUAGAGUAAUGCAGUUGUACAGUGAUGCCAAACUUGAAGGCAUGUCUUCAGUUUUCUAAGACACUUGAAUCUGUGAAAAGACAUUUAAGCUGUAGAUAUUUUGAAGAUAUUCUAAAUGUUAAGCAGUUGUAUUAAGUUUUGAUAAAUCUAUGAGAACUUCCAAUGUAGCAGACCUGUUUUAAAAUUUCUUAAGAGCUUCUAUGCAUUUCCCUGGCCAAAUCUUCUCUUCUCUAUAAAUAAAAAUGAAAUGGUGAUCGUAUAUCACGCUAUAACCCGACAACGGAUUGACGAAUUUUCACGAUUAUUUUUUACUUUGUUCGUCUUGAGCCUCGACUGGUAUAUAUCAAACAACUAAGCUGUACGUCGUUUGCCGGGUCAGCUAGUUAUUAUUACAAAACAAAUAUGAGACUUGACCCCUCUCUCUGAUGGAACCAGUCCAUGAUAUUAAUUGAUCGAAAUGAAAAUGUCUCUUAUAAUUGGCGUAGACAACUGUCUUUGAAUCGGGAAACUAUCGUUAAUUCAACGGUGUUUCUCAUUUAUGUGUGUGAAUAAAAGCAAAUAAAUCUUACUACGUUCAACAAAAAGAGCACUCUCGUCAAUAAAAUCCAUAAAAAAUCCUAAAACUUAAACAGCAAGGGUUAUGACAUGGCAUACUUACCAAAAGUGACAGUCCAAUCUGUACCUAUUUAUGACAUUCGUAUGAACUUUUUCUGUUAAACUGUUUUCUAAAGCAUGUAUUCAAUUUUCGUUCGGAAAAUACUUUCAAACUUUGUUUAAACUUAAUUGAAAAAUACCUUGAAUCAAUCUUCCUGGAACACGACUUCUGCAAGAAAUGUUUUAUGCCAAAUGGGACAAAUCGAAGCGAUCCAUUUCUGUAAAUAACUGAGAAGAGCAAAUGGCAAAUGUAACAACUCCAAGCCAUUUUUGUUUGUUUGUUUGUUUGUUUGUUAUCCUACUCCUUAAGCAUUAAAUCGACCUCAUUCCCGUUUUCGAACUGAACGGAUAAAAUGCAUCAUCGAAUGCGGGAAUAAGUACAAAUAUUUUUGCCUCCAUUAUUUUGAAACUCUUUAACUGUUUUAAUUAUGAUAGAUAUCUGGGUAGUUUUAAAGCUUUCCGAAUGUUCCUAACACAAACGUCUCUAUUGCAAACGUUUUAAAAGCUAUGUUCUCUUAAAAAUAACAUUUUCUUUUUCUGUAGACCUAUUCUUAGUUUUGCUUUAUCUACUUUAGUUUUCUUUUUUUUUAUCUUCUCAAAAUGCCUGAGUUUUGCUUGACCGCCGCAUUCGAGUUUCAAUUAGCUAACAAAACAACCUAAGCUAUCCACGAAAUGUCCUCUCAUAAUCGUUUGCUCUGGCAUGAAUUGACGAUCAUUUCAGAUUGUGAAUGAAGAAAAACACAGAAAUCGAAUAGAGUAGACGUUGUGCGUAGAAACUGAAAACAAAAGUUGGCACCGACGAAUUGGUCUAACCGAUCCACAAUUGCGUAGCUUAGAUCAAGAAAGUAAAAAGUACAGCCCUUAGGUAAAUUAAUUUGAACAUAACCAUACCGAAGAAACAAACAAACCAAGAAACAAGAAAGGAUCGAAGAACGCGAUGCUCCUGGAAAAUUUUACGCGCGGCGCUCAGAAUAAUUUUUAGGACCUAGGUAGUUGGAUGCUAAUGUGCGAACUUGGGUGAGAACAGAAUAAACCUUUCCCGACUGAUGGAAGUAUUCCCAUUGAGAUAUAAAAUGGGAUGUAAAAUGUUUAUUAUACAUUAAUUACUUGCGUGAUGAGUACGUGAGCUGUUGUGCGUCUUGAGUAGGUAUGUGAGAGUAGUAGAAAAAGAAAUUGAACACAAGCAGAAUGUUGAUAGUGAAAAGAAGCGAUGUCGAAUAAACUCUUAGCCAAUAAAACAAAUGUAACUUAUUGAAAAUGAAAACCUAGCGAAAGGAAAAUAAAGCGAAACAAACACGGAAAUGUUGACGUGAGUGCAGUGAUACACAACACAUGUACUGAAAAGGAGUGACACAGUAAUCGGUGCUAAUAUACUGUAACCGAAUAAAAGCGAAAAAUACGUUGAACAAAAGAAUAUUGCAGUGGAAAUAGAAAAAAAAAAAAACGUGCUGAAAGGAAACCAAAAGAAAGAGAAGAAGUGAAAAUGUAACAUGUUAAACAUGUUAAUCAAACUAGGAAAACAAUAGAAACAAACAUGCAGAAAAUGAAGCAACAAGAAGAAGAAAUCUGCUAUGAAAGCAUAAAAAACGAUCAAUGAUAAGCACAAGCAGAAAUGUGCAAACAAUUCACGAAAGCCAUGUUCCUUCAAAAACUGAAGGAUAGCAUCAUUGUGGAAAAAAAAGACAUACGAAAUCAGAAAUCAAGAAACGCGGAAAACUCUGCAUAACUAAUAAUCUGAAGUAGUUUAAAGGAGAAAAAAUGCUUUCCAUAAAAUUUUGUUCAGUUUGAAACCGAAUCCUGUAAACCAGACAAAAUUUUAUUUCGCGUGUGAUCAGGAAGCAAGAUUUAAAAAUGAAAAAAUAAA